GACGAACGCUGGCGGCGCGCUUAACACAUGCAAGUCGAACGGAAAGGCCUGCUUUCCCUUGUGGAUUGCGGGUACUCGAGUGGCGAACGGGUGAGUAACACGUGAGUGAUCUGCCCCCAACUUGGGUAUAAGCCUGGGAAACUGGGUCUAAUUCCCGAUAGGACUGCAGGGUGGUGCCUGUGGUGGAAAACGAUUUUCUAGUGGUUGGGGAUGAGCUCGCGGCCUAUCAGCUUGUUGGUGGGGUAAUGGCCUACCAAGGCGGCGACGGGUAGCCGGCCUGAGAGGGUGGACGGCCACAUUGGGACUGAGAUACGGCCCAGACUCCUACGGGAGGCAGCAGUGGGGAAUAUUCCACAAUGGGCGGAAGCCUGAUGCAGCGACGCCGCGUGGGGGAUGACGGCCUUCGGGUUGUAAACUCCUUUCGACCGCGAGGAAGCCACCUGGUUGGAAGGGUGGUGACGGUAGUGGUAGAAGAAGCACCGGCUAACUACGUG
rnacentral:rRNA from 1 species